GACGAACCGUGCGAACGUUGUUCGGAAUCACUGGGCGUAAAGGGCGCGUAGGCGGCUCAUGAAGGCUGUGGUGAAAGUCCGGGGCUCAACCUCGGAUCGGCCGUGGCGACUCGUGGGCUGGAGCACUGUAGAGGCGGGUGGAAUUCCGGGUGUAGCGGUGGAAUGCGUAGAGAUCCGGAGGAACACCAGUGGCGAAGGCGACACGCUGGGCCGUACCUGACACUGAUGCGCGACAGCAUGGGGAGCAAACAGG
rnacentral:rRNA from 1 species